GAGUCGCAAGCUCGCGAGAGUAAGCUAAUCUCUUAAAGCCGUUCUCAGUUCGGACUGUAGGCUGCAACUCGCCUACACGAAGUCGGAAUCGCUAGUAAUCGCGGAUCAGCAUGCCGCGGUGAAUACGUUCCCGGGUCUUGUACACACCGCCCGUCACACCAUGGGAGUCGGAAAUGCCCGAAGCCGGUGACCCAACCAAAAGGAGGGAGCCGUCGAAGGCAGGUCUGAUAACUGGGGUGAAGUCGUAACAAGGUAGC
rnacentral:rRNA from 1 species